rnacentral:rRNA from 1 species
GACGAACGCUGGCGGCGUGCCUAAUACAUGCAAGUAGAACGCUGAAGGAGGAGCUUGCUUCUCUGGAUGAGUUGCGAACGGGUGAGUAACGCGUAGGUAACCUGCCUGGUAGCGGGGGAUAACUAUUGGAAACGAUAGCUAAUACCGCAUAAGAGUAGAUGUUGCAUGACAUUUGCUUAAAAGGUGCAAUUGCAUCACUACCAGAUGGACCUGCGUUGUAUUAGCUAGUUGGUGGGGUAACGGCUCACCAAGGCGACGAUACAUAGCCGACCUGAGAGGGUGAUCGGCCACACUGGGACUGAGACACGGCCCAGACUCCUACGGGAGGCAGCAGUAGGGAAUCUUCGGCAAUGGACGAAAGUCUGACCGAGCAACGCCGCGUGAGUGAAGAAGGUUUUCGGAUCGUAAAGCUCUGUUGUAAGAGAAGAACGAGUGUGAGAGUGGAAAGUUCACACUGUGAC